AAAGCUCUGUUGUUAGGGAAGAACAAGUAUCGUUCGAAUAGGGCGGUACCUUGACGGUACCUAACCAGAAAGCCACGGCUAACUACGUGCCAGCAGCCGCGGUAAUACGUAGGUGGCAAGCGUUAUCCGGAAUUAUUGGGCGUAAAGCGCGCGCAGGCGGUCCUUUAAGUCUGAUGUGAAAGCCCACGGCUCAACCGUGGAGGGUCAUUGGAAACUGGGGGACUUGAGUGCAGAAGAGGAGAGCGGAAUUCCACGUGUAGCGGUGAAAUGCGUAGAGAUGUGGAGGAACACCAGUGGCGAAGGCGGCUCUCUGGUCUGUAACUGACGCUGAGGCGCGAAAGCGUGGGGAGCGAACAGGAUUAGAUACCCUGGUAGUCCACGCCGUAAACGAUGAGUGCUAAGUGUUAGAGGGUUUCCGCCCUUUAGUGCUGCAGCAAACGCAUUAAGCACUCCGCCUGGGGAGUACGGUCGCAAGACUGAAACUCAAAGGAAUUGACGGGGGCCCGCACAAGCGGUGGAGCAUGUGGUUUAAUUCGAAGCAACGCGAAGAACCUUACCAGGUCUUGACAUCCCGUGACAACUCUGGAGACAGGGCGUUCCCCUUCGGGGGACACGGUGAC
rnacentral:rRNA from 1 species